rnacentral:rRNA from 1 species
CCUCGGAUCAGGUAGGGAUACCCGCUGAACUUAAGCAUAU